UACGAGAGGCCCAAACGUUAUUCGGAAUUACUGGGCUUAAAGAGUUCGUAGGCGGCAUGAAAAGCAGGGUGUGAAAGCCCUCGGCUCAACCGAGGAAUUGCGCUCUGAACUGUCGUGCUUGAGGAACCUAGAGGUGAGCAGAACUGAUGGUGGAGCGGUGAAAUGCGUUGAUAUCAUCAGGAAUACCGGAGGCGAAGGCGGCUCACUGGGGGUUUUCUGACGCUGAGGAACGAAAGCCAGGGGAGCGAACGGG
rnacentral:rRNA from 2 species